GACGCUGUGCCCUGGAACCAGCCAGGGUACCUCAAACUCUCCCUACACUUGGUGUCUCUCCUGCCUCUGUUUUCUCUCUCUCUCUCUUUUUUUUUUCUGGUUUCUAUUGGGCCCAUCUGGAUAAUCCAGGAUUAUCUUUCUAUUUUAAGAUCAGCAGAUUAGUGGCUUAAUUACACCCACAAAGCCCCUCGAAGCAACAGUGCCUAGAUUUGUGUUAGAAUCACCAGGGCGGCCUGGGAGGCUUCUUUAGAUGUCCUGCAUGGAGGCAUCGGCAGCAUCUGGUGCCCCCAGCUUCUUGCUGCGGUCUUGAUCAUUCUUGCAGGAGUGAACGGGUCCAGGCCCACCUCCCACCAGCUCAUGAGAUUCCUUUACAAACCCAGUGACCAGCUCCUUUGGGCCAGGAAGCCCAGUCCCUCUCUCUGGGGUCUGUCACCCCAGCCAGAAACCAGGGCUGCCUUCCACCGUGGAAUCCCUGGUGGUUACAAACAAAAUUCUCCUUGGAAUACCUGUAAAGGCAGCUGAUUCCACCUUUAAAACGUAUCCAGAGUCCAGCCACAGCCGACCACCUCCCUGGCCACCUCAUGGCCUUCCCGCCUCGUGCUUCUUCUGGGUUGCCCUUCAUCAGGUGCCCAACUCAUUAAAAAUAAAAGCCACGAUCUGGCCCUGUGUUCUCUCCCCGACCUCACCUGCCCUCCCAGGCUCCCUUCACCCCAGGCACACCCGGCCUUCUUUUUGUUCCUUGAGCAGGCAGGGCCUGUCCCAACCCCAGGGCCUUUGCACAGGCUCUUCUCUCUUACUCCAGUUAUCUGGUGUGGAAUGAGAUAGAAUGGUGUUACUCUGGUUCAGACCUCUAAAAUGUGGUUGAGAAGCCAUCCUUCGAAGGACUACCUGCACGGCCGCAACCCUGCCAAACAAGAGCUUGCUUGAACCUUCGCAUUGGGUCCCACGGACACAACCGUAACAUCCUGGAGAAUUUGCCGGCGCUGCGACUCCUGAACAGUGACAACCAAUGAACUGUGGACUCAUGUACUAUGCCAGCUGCUUGCGCCAAUGGCAAUUCUUUCAAAACAACUUGUGUAAUCACCCUCAGCAUCCUUUUCAAAACCCCUACUCCCCUUCCUCUCCCGAGAGCACAGUUUGGUUUCUA
rnacentral:lncRNA from 13 species